rnacentral:rRNA from 1 species
UUAGUUAAGUGAAGAAGGGCGCACGGUGGAUGCCUUGGCACUAGGAGCCGAUGAAGGACGGGACUAACACCGAUAUGCUUCGGGGAGCUGU